rnacentral:rRNA from 1 species
UGAGUAACGCGUGGAUAACCUACCUCAAGGUCUGGGAUAACAGCUCGAAAGGGCUGCUAAUACCGGAUGUGGUGCAUAUGCUGCAUGGUAGAUGCACUAAAGGGGAAACCCGCCAUGAGAUGGGUCCGCGUCCUAUCAGCUAGUUGGUGGGGUAAAGGCCUACCAAGGCGACGACGGGUAGCCGGCCUGAGAGGGUGACCGGCCACACUGGGACUGAGACACGGCCCAGACUCCUACGGGGGGCAGCGGUGGGGAAUAUUGCACAAUGGGCGAAAGCCUGAUGCAGCGACGCCGCGUGGGCGAAGAAGGCCUUCGGGUUGUAAAGCCCUGUCUGGAGGGACGAAGUAAUGACGGUACCUCCGGAGGAAGCCACGGCUAACUACGUGCCAGCAGCCGCGGUAAUACGUAGGUGGCGAGCGUUGUCCGGAAUUACUGGGCGUAAAGGGCGUGCAGGCGGCCACUUAAGUCGGGCGUGAA